rnacentral:tmRNA from 1 species
AAACGACGAAAACUACGCUUUAGCAGCUUAAUAACCUGCUCUGAGCCCUCUCUCCCUAGCUUCCGCUCUUAAGACGGGGAUCAAAGAGAGGUCAAACCCAAAAGAGAUCGCGUGGAUGCCCUGCCUGGGGUUGAAGCGUUAAAUCUAAUCAGGCUAGUUUGUUAGUGGCGUGUCUGUCCGCAGCUGGCAAGCGAAUGUAAAGACUGACUAAGCAUGUAGUGCCGAGGAUGUAGGAAUUUCGGACGCGGGUUCAACUCCCGCCAGCUCCACCA